AUCUACAACCGGGAGUUAUGGAGAGAGCGGGCGAAGGCGUCGGUUCUCUCCAUGACAACGGUCACAUGACCUCUAGAAGCCUGAUGACGCGGAUCACGUGAUCGGGAGAGUCAUUUGACAGUAUUCUCACGCAUUCCGUCAUGGCCUUUCUGCACCUGCGCCGUGGAGAAUCGUCCACGCUAGCCGGCGCCAUUACUGCCCUAUACAGAUCAGACCGCCAUGUCGAUAUCUUAACAUCUGCUGGACAAACAGUUCAAGCUUGAAGUUAAUCUUUUAAGACUAUCUGAAAAUCCCUUGAAACUUCUUCCCAAAAUGAUCAAUUACUACUAGAUUAGGUGUAAGUCAGCACCUGCUGAGGGCAUACAAGGAUCUUCUGACUCUUUCCGACAACCAGUGCUGGAGG